rnacentral:rRNA from 1 species
CCUACGGGGGGCAGCAGUAGGGAAUCUUUCACAAUGGGCGAAAGCCUGAUGGAGCAACGCCGCGUGCAGGAUGAAGGCCUUCGGGUUGUAAACUGCUUUUAUAAGCGAGAAAUAUGAUGGUAACUUAUGAAUAAGGAUCGGCUAACUACGUGCCAGCAGCCGCGGUCAUACGUAGGAUCCGAGCAUUAUCCGGAGUGACUGGGUGUAAAGAGUUGCAUAGGUGGCAUAAUAAGUAGCUAGUGAAAUCUGGUGGCUCAACCAUUCAGACUAUUAGCUAAACUGUUAAGCUCGAGACCGUUAGGGGUAACUGGAAUUUCUAGUGUAGGAGUGAAAUCCGUAGAUAUUAGAAGGAACACCAAUAGCGUAGGCAGGUUGCUGGGACGGUUCUGACACUAAGGCACGAAAGCGUAGGGAGCAAACGGGAUUAGAUACCCCUGUAGUC